GACGAACCGUGCGAACGUUAUUCGGAAUCACUGGGCUUAAAGCGCGUGUAGGCGGCCCGGCACGUCCGUCGCUGAAAUCCCCCGGCUCAACCGGGGAAGGGGCGUGGAUACGGCCGGGCUGGAGGGGGGUAGGGGGAGCCGGAACUUCCGGUGGAGCGGUGAAAUGCGUUGAGAUCGGAAGGAACGCCCGUGGCGAAAGCGGGCUCCUGGACCCCACCUGACGCUGAGACGCGAAAGCCAGGGGAGCGAACGGG
rnacentral:rRNA from 1 species